rnacentral:lncRNA from 1 species
AGGAAAUGGUGUGUGAAUGUCACGUACCUUGGGGGGAGAGCCAGUCUCCCCCUUAUAUACAUGUCAGUAGUGGGCCCUUCCAAUGGGCAGGCCCAUACCCUCAAAGGUGUUGUCCCACGGCUGUGUGCGAGCCGUACGGGACGCGUGUCCGGGUCGGGUGGAGGACGCACCACUGGGCCGGCGAGAACUCGGGUCGGGUUGACCCGCGCGAGUUUUGGGCCAGGCCGUAACAGUGCCCCCGACGCGUCA